rnacentral:rRNA from 1 species
UUUUAUGGAGAGUUUGAUCCUGGCUCAGGAUGAACGCUGGCGGCGUGCCUAAUACAUGCAAGUCGAGCGAACGGACGAGAAGCUUGCUUCUCUGAUGUUAGCGGCGGACGGGUGAGUAACACGUGGAUAACCUACCUAUAAGACUGGGAUAACUUCGGGAAACCGGAGCUAAUACCGGAUAAUAUUUUGAACCGCAUGGUUCAAAAGUGAAAGACGGUCUUGCUGUCACUUAUAGAUGGAUCCGCGCUGCAUUAGCUAGUUGGUAAGGUAACGGCUUACCAAGGCAACGAUGCAUAGCCGACCUGAGAGGGUGAUCGGCCACACUGGAACUGAGACACGGUCCAGACUCCUACGGGAGGCAGCAGU